GACCGCGUAGCUCAGUUGGCAGAGCAUUGGGCUAGUAUUCCGAAGGUCGUAGGUUUGAUUCCCACCGUGGCCA